rnacentral:rRNA from 1 species
AUUGAACGCUGGCGGCAUGCCUUACACAUGCAAGUCGAACGGUAACAGGUCUUCGGAUGCUGACGAGUGGCGAACGGGUGAGUAAUAUAUCGGAACGUGCCCAGUCGUGGGGGAUAACUGCUCGAAAGAGCAGCUAAUACCGCAUACGACCUGAGGGUGAAAGCGGGGGAUCGCAAGACCUCGCGCGAUUGGAGCGGCCGAUAUCAGAUUAGGUAGUUGGUGGGGUAAAGGCCUACCAAGCCUACGAUCUGUAGCUGGUCUGAGAGGAUGACCAGCCACACUGGGACUGAGACACGGCCCAGACUCCUACGGGAGGCAGCAGUGGGGAAUUUUGGACAAUGGACGCAAGUCUGAUCCAGCCAUGCCGCGUGCGGGAAGAAGGCCUUCGGGUUGUAAACCGCUUUUGUCAGGGAAGAAAAGGUUCUGGUUAAUACCUGGGACUCAUGACGGUACCUGAAGAAUAAGCACCGGCUAACUACGUGCCAGCCGCCGCAGUAAUAC